rnacentral:rRNA from 1 species
UACGAAGGGGGCUAGCGUUGUUCGGAAUUACUGGGCGUAAAGCGCACGUAGGCGGAUAUUUAAGUCAGGGGUGAAAUCCCGGGGCUCAACCCCGGAACUGCCUUUGAUACUGGGUAUCUCGAGUCCGAGAGAGGUGAGUGGAAUUCCGAGUGUAGAGGUGAAAUGCGUAGAGAUCCGGAGGAACACCAGUGGCGAAGGCGACACGCUGGGCCGUACCUGACGCUAAAACGCGACAGCAUGGGGAGCGAACGGG